rnacentral:rRNA from 1 species
GACGAACGCUGGCGGCGUGCCUAACACAUGCAAGUCGAACGAGUGGCGAACGGGUGAGUAACACGUGGGUGAUCUGCCUUGCACUUCGGGAUAAGCUUGGGAAACUGGGUCUAAUUCCGGAUAGUGCAAGAUGAGAUCGCGGACUAUCAGCUUGUUGGUGGGGUAAAGGUUACCAAGGCGCGACGGGUAGCCGGCCUGGGAGUGUGUACGGCCACAUUGGGGCUGAGAGACGGACCAGACGCCUACGGGGGGCAGCGGUGGGGAGUAGUGCACAAUGGGCGGAAGGCUAGUGCAGCGACGCCGGGUGGGGGAUGAAGGGUUUCGGGUUGUAAACUCCUUUCGACAGGGACGCGGUACCUGUAUAAGAAGCGCCGGCUAACUACGUGCCAGCAGCCGCGGUAAUUC